GGGUCCGGACACACUGAGGAUUGACAGGCAAUUAUUGCUAACAGUUUCUUUUUUUAAAAGUACUGUUGCAACAACAAAUAUGCUAGUCCUUUCAUGAUUAUGUGAUAGGUGGUGCAUGGCCGUUCUUAGUUCGUGGAGUGAUCUGUCUGCUUAAUUGCGUUUCAUUAUGGACCAUGUUAUAACAUGUACUAUCUCUUGAUUUUCAAAUUUUCAUUUAUUUGAGAUUUGUUAUAAAGAAGGAGUUUUGGUGCAAUUGGUCCUGAAAGCAACGAACGUGACCGCAUCCUCUUGUUGCCUUUUUAACUUGGCAUUUUUUUUAAUUUAUUUUAACAUUUUUGUCAUAACAUAAGAGGCUUUCAGAAAACUAGAGGGACCGCUGCGACUUUUUUAAACCAGAGGAAGGUUGCGGCAAUAACAGGUCUGUGAUGCCCUUAGAUGUUCCGGGCUGCACACGUGCUACAAUGAUUAUUGCAGUGAGCAUCUCAUUUUAUUUUUUGUGCUUGUCUUGUCUGCGAGUUUAUUCUCAACGACGACAGCCUUAGCCUGCUUCGAAAGUCCGCAGGU
rnacentral:rRNA from 1 species